rnacentral:rRNA from 1 species
CACGUAGGGGGCGAGCGUUGUCCGGAAUCAUUGGGCGUAAAGCGCGUGUAGGCGGUCCGGUAAGUCCGCUGUGAAAGUCGGGGGCUCAACCCUCGGAUGCCGGUGGAUACUGUCGGGCUUGAGUACGGAAGAGGCGAGUGGAAUUCCUGGUGUAGCGGUGAAAUGCGCAGAUAUCAGGAGGAACACCAAUUGCGAAGGCAGCUCGCUGGGACGUUACUGACGCUGAGACGCGAAAGCAUGGGGAGCGAACAGG